AGGCUGCAUAUGAUGACAACAUAGUUCAACAGAUGACCUGUGAUGAUCACGCUGUUAUUGUCUUUCGCUCCUAUCUGAUGCAGCCU
ensembl:snoRNA